UACGUAGGGUGCGAGCGUUGUCCGGAAUUACUGGGCGUAAAGAGCUCGUAGGUGGUUUGUCGCGUUGUUCGUGAAAACUCACAACUCAAUUGUGGGCGUGCGGGCGAUACGGGCAGACUGGAGUACUGCAGGGGAGACUGGAAUUCCUGGUGUAGCGGUGGAAUGCGCAGAUAUCAGGAGGAACACCGGUGGCGAAGGCGGUUCUCUGGGCCUGUACUGACGCUGAGGAGCGAAAGCGUGGGGAGCGAACAGG
rnacentral:rRNA from 1 species